UCCCUGAUGGUCCAGUGGUGAGACUCUGCACUCUCAAUGCAGGGGCUCUGGGUUCAAUCCCUGGUUGGGGAA